UCGCAUCCUGGGGCUGGAGAAGGUCCCAAGGGUCGGGCUGUUCGCCCGUUAAAGCGGUACAUGAGCUGGGUUUAGAACGUCGUGAGACAGUUCGGUCUGUAUCCGCCGUGGGCGUUGGAGAUUUGAGGGGAGCUGCUCCUAGUACGAGAGGACCGGAGUGGACUGACCGCUGGUGUACCUGUUGUCCCGCCAGGGGCAUCGCAGGGUAGCUACGUCGGGAAGGGAUAACCGCUGAAAGCAUCUAAGUGGGAAGCCCCCCCCAAGAUGAGAUCUCCCGUGCCGUAAGGCACCUGAAGGCCCGCAGGAGACGACUGCGUGGAUAGGCGGCAGGUGUAAGCGUGGCAACACGUUCAGCCGAGCCGUACUAAUCGGCCGUGCGGCUUGAUCCUCUUCU
rnacentral:rRNA from 1 species